CGAGUUAUUAGCAACAUAAAAAAACUAACAAUUCUGUUUAAAUGCUAGUCUAACUUAUAUAGUUAACAUAUUUAAUGACAAAAGUAGCAGCCAGAGUUAUAAGUAUCUGGUUAUAUCUAGAAUUGAUCACAUUAAACAAAACACUAGUUGACUAAAAUCUAAACCUAAUUAACCAAACUCUAAACCUAAUAUCUCUGCUGCCGCCUCUCUCCUCUUUUGCCUCUUUGUUCUCGAUGUCUUCCUCUAUUCUGUCUCCAUCUCCGGCACCAUUGAUGACGACCAGGACGAAUUCGAGACCUGUGAUGACAGGGGCAAGCUCGAGACCGGUGACGAAGGGAGGAGACUUCUCCUCUGCUCACGACCACCACCUCUUGCUCAUGACCACCACCUUUACCAGCACUAAAUAUCAGAUUGUCAACAAAGAGAUAGAGAAAGAGAGAGAGAGAGACCACCACCUCUUGCUCACGACCACCACCUUUACCAGCACAAAAAAAAAUCAGAUUAAAAACAUUUCUUCUCUUCUCUGAAGAAAUCCUAGAACUACUUCACCAACGCUUUUGCUCCAGAUUCCAUUAAAUAACUCUGCAAUGGCUCACUCUUACUGCAAAUAAUGGGAAUUGUGCCUUUAUCUCACUGAAAAAUUCAAAGAAAUCCCCAAUUUCAUAGUUUGUGAUAACAAUGGAAGAAUAUCACAUCGAAGAAGGAGAUACUAAGUGUUUUAGGUUGGAAACAAUCUCUGAAAAAAACAAGGGAAACAAUAGACACGAGAAAGAUUUUGAAACUUUUAUACGAAAGGAGGAAGAGCAAACGCUUUUACCUCCAACUACCCAGAAAAAUUCAUACCUUAAGAAUUAUGGGAUUUUCGAUUUAUGAGUAGAUAGGAAGGUUUGGAAAAGUGUAAAAUAUCAACUUG
rnacentral:lncRNA from 1 species